CUAUGCACAUUAUUCCACCUAUCGCUCUCUUUUGGGAUGCGUGGUGGACGUGAAAGUGGCUCUCGUGUUCCAGCACACCCAGUGCNNUGCGGUGUGGCAUGGCCCAUGGGAAACUGCUCGUAAUCUCGGAUGCGGAACAUUCAGCGGGUGCAGGGCAUGAUCCCUGAUUUACCCAAGCAAGGCUUUCGUUGCCUAGCAAGUACGACUGUCGUGGUUGUCUUGUCCCCUCCCAAUCUGGUAGGGGUCAUACGACCCCGGCGUCGCAAAGGAAUGCUACC
rnacentral:misc_RNA from 1 species